rnacentral:rRNA from 1 species
GACGAACGCUGGCGGCGUGCUUAACACAUGCAAGUCGAACGGUAAGGCCCUUCGGGGUACACGAGUGGCGAACGGGUGAGUAACACGUGGGUGAUCUGCCCUGCACUUCGGGAUAAGCCUGGGAAACUGGGUCUAAUACCGGAUAGGACUCCGGACUGCAUGGUCUGGGGUGGAAAGCUUUUGCGGUGUGGGAUGGGCCCGCGGCCUCUCAGCUUGUUGGUGGGGUGAUGGCCUACCAAGGCGACGACGGGUAGCCGGCCUGAGAGGGUGACCGGCCACACUGGGACUGGGGUACGGGCCAGACUCCUACGGGAGGCAGCAGUGGGGAAUAUUGCACAAUGGGCGCAAGCCUGAUGCAGCGACGCCGCGUGAGGGAUGACGGCCUUCGGGUUGUAAACCUCUUUCAGCACAGACGAAGCGCAAGUGACGGUAUGUGCAGAAGAAGGACCGGCCAACUACGUGCCAGCAGCCGCAGUAA